UACGGGGGGAGCAAGCGUUGUUCGGAUUCACUGGGCGUAAAGAGCGCGCAGGCGGUCGUUCAAGUCGCGUGUGAAAGCCCCCCGGCUCAACUGGGGAGGGUCACGCGAUACUGAUCGACUCGAAGGCAGGAGAGGGUAGUGGAAUCCCGGUGUAGUGGUGAAAUGCGUAGAUAUCAGGAAGAACACCCCGUGGCGAAGGCGGCU
rnacentral:rRNA from 1 species